rnacentral:tRNA from 1 species
GGUGAUGUAGCAGAGUGGUGUGCUCCUGUGUUGUGAUACAGGGGGUCCAGGGUUCGAUCCCUAUCCCCA